GGUGUAGGUACUCUUGGUGUGGAUCCACUUGGUGCAGGUCCUCUGGGAGGGUGUCUUGCUGGUGUUGGCGGGGUGUCCAUUUCUCUGUUGCUCCUGUGUGAGGUGCUGGGGCUCCAGUUGAGGUUGAUGUCCUUCAGGGUCCUGGCAAAGGGCCCCCCUCUAUGUAAUACGUCUUUGUUGUUACGUACGUCUCUUGGAGGAGGGAACGCAACACCCCGCUGCAUCUCAACUCCCCGUGGAGUGAAAAAAGUAUGUGAAAAAGAUGAGAGAAAUAUGAGAAAUGAGAAAAAUACCAUUUACAGGGAAUUUAUUAUUCCUUAACACGGUAAUGUGGGGGAAAGGGUCUGGACGGAACCAAAGCAAGUAAAAGUAACAGUUAAUAAUGAGUCCCCUCUCCUACCUUACCUGCCUUCCCACUUCUUACCUAACUUUAACAUGGCAUACACAUACCUCCGAAGGAGCGGCUACAAAAUAGUAUUCACAAAACCUUUACUGACCACCACAACAAUCAACACGGGACAUAAAAAGAAGCUCUCCCCUGACGAAGGAACACAGGCUUUUAUCAAGCUGGAGAAGGAGUUGCUAAUGAAGAGACAGCUGAAUCCCUGACGAGAGGGAGGUGUCAGAGCUCCAAUCAGCGAUGGGGCCGACCAAUCAGCCGCUUUAGGAUUCCAGGAAGCCAUUUCCUGAAAUACACACACAUACAAACCCACAACAACACAGAAACUGGAGGACGUAACAUUUGUCCAUCUGUUGAACCCAUCUGUCUCUCUGUCUCCUAUGGUCCUUAUCCAUCCCCACACGCAGUGAGAAGUGAAAGUUAGAGUCACUUUGGGACAAGAGCAGUCCAGUUUACUCCAGUUCUGUGACUCACUGUGAGCACUGGGACGAAGUGCCAAAUAAAAAAAGCCUCUCAUCUGA